rnacentral:rRNA from 1 species
UACAGAGGUCCCAAGCGUUGUUCGGAUUCAUUGGGCGUAAAGGGUGCGUAGGCGGCGCGGUAAGUCGGGUGUGAAAUCUCGGGGCUUAACUCCGAAACUGCAUUCGAUACUGCCGUGCUUGAGGACUGGAGAGGAGACUGGAAUUUACGGUGUAGCGGUGAAAUGCGUAGAUAUCGUAAGGAAGACCAGUGGCGAAGGCGGGUCUCUGGGCUGACACUGACGCUCAUGCACGAAAGCGUGGGGAGCAAACAGG